UAAUUAUGUUGUAAUAAUAUUUUAAAGUUAAAUUAUCUUGUAAACAUCCAUUAGAGCUUUUUAGUAGAUCUAAAUUAUUUCUCCAAAUUGUCUUGUAAGGAAACAUAUCUAUUAAUUAAUGAAUUCUUUCAAUUGGUAUGUUUUUCGGUGACCCCUUUAUUAAGUUAGCUAGAGGGACAAUGCAAACACAACAUAUUGAUGUAUUUAAAAGACCUUAAAUAAUUUAAAACUAUUUAAUUGAUGUAAAGAGAGGAUGAAAUUUUUAUAAACUAUAAAGUGAGAAAUCCACUUGUUACAUACAACAAAGAAAAAUAUGGCUGAAAUUGUCAAAUAUAUUUAUGUUAUAAUUAUCUUUCUUUCCCUAUUACUUGUUUCAAGGGAAGUUGAUGGAUGUACAGGAGAUAUUGAAUGUAAACGGAAAAUGUGGUGUCCCAGUCCUUCAAAACCAAUGUGUUUAUAUCCAAUGUGUGUAUGUGCUAUAAUAAAGAUUAUAGUGAAAU